AUUUGUUUUUUAUUUAUUUAUUUAGCUUUGCCAACUAGGGCAGGGUCACCACAACAGCAUAUGCCAAUUACUGUGGGCCCUUUUUUACCUAACCCACCCUGUCAACUUUCCCUGUGGGAGGAAACCAGAGUACCCGGGGAAAACCCACGGCUUUCGGCAGAGCGUUGACUUUUACUCUUUUCACAUGGGGACUGGGUUCGAGUCACACUGAGAAGGUACUUAGUGAGAUUCGAACCUGCAGCCUCAGAGGUGAAAGGCAAGUGCGCUAACCACUUGGCCACCGAAGCCCC
rnacentral:lncRNA from 1 species